rnacentral:lncRNA from 1 species
AAAGAGACCAAAAAAUUAUAUCAUGGUUCUUUAGUUGCAGGCAACAGAAGCCAACUCUGGGUAACAAGCAAAAAGGGAAGGAGAAGGAUGCAAGGGCUGCUCAGAGAAUAGAUAAUAUAAUAAAUAUUAAUGACAAUAAUAUGAGACUGAAGACACCACAUGCAAAGGUUACCAAAAACAAAGUUAAUAGACAAGGAGAAGACAGUUGCAGCAUCAAAAACAAAGGAUAAUAUUUACAUCAGUGCUGUCCACUAGAAAUGAAAUACGAAGGAAACUAAGAGAAUUACCAGUUGACCUAUGUUUAAAGAAUGACUGAGGAUAUUCUUCAAAGGAAAUGAUAACAGCAGGCAUAGAACUUUAGAAAGAAAGAAAGAACAAUGGAAUGAGAAAAAAUAGGGCUGUACUGCCUCUUUUGAUCAAUUUGCCCCAUUCAUGGUUAUGCAUGCUGAUGGAGACUGCUUUUGAAGCUUCUUUAUUGAAGGAGCGGGAGAAGAGUAAGAAAGUUGGAGCAGACUAAGAAGACAGGAAAGAAAGAAAAGCAAAAGUAAGAUAGAGACAGAGUCUCGCUCCAUCACCCAGGCUGGAGUGCAGUGUCAAGAUCUCAGCUCACUGCAACCUCUGCCUCCUGGAUUCAAGCGAUUCUCCUGCCUCAGCCUCCCGAGUAGCUGGGACUACAGGCAUAUGCCACCACGAC